rnacentral:rRNA from 1 species
GACGAACGCUGGCGGCGUGCCUAAUACAUGCAAGUAGAACGCACAGUUUAUACCGUAGCUUGCUACACCAUACACUGUGAGUUGCGAACGGGUGAGUAACGCGUAGGUAACCUGCCUGGUAGCGGGGGAUAACUAUUGGAAACGCUAGCUAAUACCGCAUAAUAUUGAUUAUUGCAUGAUAAUUGAUUGAACGAUGCUAUUGCAUCACUACCAGAUGGACCUGCGUUGUAUUAGCUAGUAGGUGAGGUAACGGCUCACCUAGGCGACGAUACAUAGCCGACCCGGGAGGGUGAUCGGCCACACUGGGACUGGGACACGGCCCAGACUCCUACGGGAGGCAGCAGGAGGGAAACUUCGGAAAUGGACGAAAGUCUGACCGAGCAACGCCGCGGGAGUGAAGAAGGUUUUCGGAUCGUAAAGCUCUGUUGUAAGAGAAGAACGGGUGUGAGAGUGGAAAGUUCACACUGUGACGGUAUCUUACCAGAAAGGGACGGCUAACUACGUG